CCUAAAACAAAUCUGCAGCAAUUGAAACCUGCAUAACAAACUAGUAUCAUAAUCCAAGCUAUAAUUGACAUAAUUAAAAACAAAAAUCAGUAAACGAAACACCAACAUUACAAAAACUAAUUAACACCAUUGUACAAUUCUGAUUUAUUUAUUUUCAGCAAACGAAACACCAAAAUUAACAAAAUCAGCAAAUGAAACACCAAAAGUUACAAAUCUGAUCUAUUUUUUUUUUUUCAUUUUCACCGUGACGGUUCGUCAGAUUCGCAUCCCUCCAUCGUGUUUUCCCUUCGCCGUGACGGAGAGGACUCCGACUCCGUUGGUAGUUUCUCUAACAAUGUGAGCGCCAGCAGCCGAAGCAGAAGAGUUUUAUUGAGUAGAUCUGCUCUUUGGCGUCAGAUUUCCAUUUGGUUCGAUCGAUUUGGAAUUAAUCGUUGAUCUUUCAAAAGCAGUUAAUCUUUGAAAAUGUGUCCCAAAAUCAAGCAUAUAAACUUCAGAACACCAAAUUCCAACUCCACCCACUAUCCCUAAAAUCAAGCCAUCAUCGUUUUGGAAACGGGGUUUGAGAUGGUGAUGUUGGAGAGGAGAAAUUUUAAUUGGUAAUUUUUUCAGUUUUCAUAAUGAUUUGCAAGGUCAUAUUAAACAUAUUUUUAAGUUUCACAGUGGAAAAAGAAGAUUAUGAAAAUGGGGAAAAUGAU
rnacentral:lncRNA from 1 species